GGUGAACGCUGGCGGUAGGCCUAACACAUGCAAGUCGAACGGCAGCACAGUAAGAGCUUGCUCUUACGGGUGGCGAGUGGCGGACGGGUGAGGAAUACAUCGGAAUCUACUUUUUCGUGGGGGAUAACGUAGGGAAACUUACGCUAAUACCGCAUACGACCUACGGGUGAAAGCAGGGGAUCUUCGGACCUUGCGCGAUUGAAUGAGCCGAUUUCGGAUUAGCUAGUUGGCGGGGUAAAGGCCCACCCAGGCGACGAUCCGUAGCUGGUCUGAGAGGAUGACCAGCCACCCUGGAACUGAGACACGGUCCAGAUUCCUACGGGAGGGAGCAGUGGGGAAUAUUGGACAAUGGGCGCAAGCCUGAUCCAGCCAUACCGCGUGGGUGAAGAAGGCCUUCGGGUUGUAAAGCCCUUUUGUUGGGAAAGAAAAGCAGCAGGUUAAUACCCCGCUGUUCUGACGGUACCCAAAGAAUAAGCACCGGCUAACUUCGUG
rnacentral:rRNA from 1 species